GGUCUCUUAAACAGAGGCGCCGGCCUUCUAAGCCGAUGGUCACAGGUUCGAAUCCUGUCGGGAUCGCCA
rnacentral:tRNA from 1 species